AUUGUUACUAGAAGUUGCGUGCCAUUUCAUAUGGGUAGCAGUUUUUGAUGACAUGAAUAAACGUUGAAGUCGGGGCUUUAGAGGAAAAUAGCGCAAAACCUUUGCAGGAGCUUUACUCUUUAUUUUCUCUGAUCCAGUUUCAGUUCUUGUACUCUUUACUGAAGUUGUUUCUUUCCAGCG
rnacentral:sRNA from 1 species